rnacentral:rRNA from 1 species
ACGAACGCUGGCGGCGUGCCUAAUACAUGCAAGUUGAGCGAUGAAGAUUGGUGCUUGCACCAAUUUGAAGAGCAGCGAACGGGUGAGUGACGCGUGGGGAAUCUGCCUUUGAGCGGGGGACAACAUUUGGAAACGAAUGCUAAUACCGCAUAACAACUUUAAACAUAAGUUUUAAGUUUGAAAGAUGCAAUUGCAUCACUCAAAGAUGAUCCCGCGUUGUAUUAGCUAGUUGGUGAGGUAAAGGCUCACCAAGGCGAUGAUACAUAGCCGACCUGAGAGGGUGAUCGGCCACAUUGGGACUGAGACACGGCCCAAACUCCUACGGGAGGCAGCAGUAGGGAAUCUUCGGCAAUGGACGAAAGUCUGACCGAGCAACGCCGCGUGAGUGAAGAAGGUUUUCGGAUCGUAAAACUCUGUUGGUAGAGAAGAACGUUGGUGAGAGUGGAAAGCUCAUCAAGUGACGGUAACUACCCAGAAAGGGACGGCUAACUACGUG